CUGGUUGGCGGGGGUUAGAGGAACAGGUUUGCCGCCGGAGCCGGCGGAGGGCCGGUAGGCGGCAGCAGCGACCUGUCUCCCAGGGCCGCGCGGCAUGAAGAGGAGACUUCUUCUUAAAUAGAGCGACGGCGCGUUCCUUUGACGGACUGCGAACGGAGCUGCUAGUCGCCGUGCGGCUGCGGCACGCGGCAGCGCGGCAAGCUGACGACGAUGGCUUCGACGCGCGGGCGCGUCCUUACGGAGUGACCCGGGGCUGCCAACACGGCUCCCGGCGUUGCGCCCGACCCGCGGCGGAUGCGCGCGAUACGUGCGCCACGGCGGUGCCAGCGAAUACGCCCCGACGUACUAGAAGAAACCGUACCUCUACCUCCCCGACCACGCAGCGGCGGGAAACACAUCUCUCGCGGCUGUUCUCCGUAGAGGAGGGGAGAUAUUAGAACCCGCACCUGAGUGCUGGCGACGACUACGGCUUCCAUGGUAGCCGGUACAAGUACAGCACCUACCGGCAACAGCUGCGACUUCCACGGUAUGCGAAAGAGGGCACGGCUACGUACGUACAGAAGAGAAAGACAACGUACAGCGGUACACGUCCCGGCGCACUCGGCGGCGGCCAGGAGUUCUUCCCCCGCUCCAGGUGCGGCAACGCAUCGGGUACUCGUGACGCCCAUGCCGCGUCUGCGGCAGCGGCGGCACUGACUACAGCGGUAGGCGUGGCCCCGAACUACGAAGUGAGGCGGCGUGGCAUAUCGCGGCGAACUCGCAUCGCGGCCGUGUCGGCCCCUAGGCGCUCCGUAGCGACAAGAGAGACCGGAUUAGCGAGAGGCAAUCCGUUUCACGACUAUUGCACUACACUUUGUUCCUUCUGUUUACUUAGAGAUAGAGAAAGUAGCUACUAGAGACAUGUAAUAUAUAGGGACUUUCCUGCGCAAGCCCUCCCUCGCUCCUCUCUGCGCUGUCAAUCUUUUCCGAUUGGCGGACAGCCAAAUGUUCCACCCCUAAUAGGUAUUAAUUAAUAUAGAUUAAUUAAGAAUUGUCACACUUGACACACUAUACCAUUCAUAACACUCCUCUUUACGGUAAAUGAUAGGAAGUCGACAAAGUUUUCAGCUUCAAACGAUAAAGUUGAAAGUUUUCGUCUGUUAAAACUAGGAAGUAUGUAGUUUUGAUAGAUCGAAACUAAAUGUACGUAGUGAUUUUUAUGAGGGAGACAAGGCUUUAUAAACAGAAAGAUCGGUAGAGACAUCUGUACAAAAUCUCACAUCUAAGUGAGUAAAACG
rnacentral:rRNA from 1 species